AUGCACGCUGGCGGCGUGCCUAAUACAUGCAAGUCGAGCGAACAGACGAGGAGCUUGCUCCUCUGACGUUAGCGGCGGACGGGUGAGUAACACGUGGAUAACCUACCUAUAAGAUUGGGAUAACUUCGGGAAACCGGAGCUAAUACCGGAUAAUAUAUUGAACCGCAUGGUUCAAUAGUGAAAGACGGUUUUGCUGUCACUUAUAGAUGGAUCCGCGCCGCAUUAGCUAGUUGGUAAGGUAACGGCUUACCAAGGCGACGAUGCGUAGCCGACCUGAGAGGGUGAUCGGCCACACUGGAACUGAGACACGGUCCAGACUCCUACGGGAGGCAGCAGUAGGGAAUCUUCCGCAAUGGGCGAAAGCCUGACGGAGCAACGCCGCGUGAGUGAUGAAGGUCUUCGGAUCGUAAAACUCUGUUAUUAGGGAAGAACAAAUGUGUAAGUAACUAUGCACGUCUUGACGGUACCUAAUCAGAAAGCCACGGCUAACUACGUG
rnacentral:rRNA from 1 species